rnacentral:lncRNA from 1 species
UCCACAAAAACAUCACAGACCAUGCAUAAACGCCACUUCACUAAUGGAUUCUCACUUCCUUCACAUCCUGCUUAGGCUUUUCGGUCCUAGGAAUUACAAUAUUAAGAACCCCGUUUUUCAACUCCGCCUUAAUUUCGUCAGCCUUCGCAUCAUCAGGCAGCGCGAGGCUUGUGUUGUAGUAACCAUAGCUCCUUGCUGACCAGUGUUCGUCGUCAGAGCCUUCCUCUUCCUCUUCCUUGUGCUCACCCUUUAUUGUCAGAACCCCAUCAUGAAUGGUGAUCUUCACAUCAUCUUUGCCUAGCCCCGGAACGUCAUACCGCAGCUUGUAGCAGUCGUCUUGCUCUUUCACCCACCCCAUGAGUUGUGAUGGUGUAAAGUUCAAGUUUUCGAAUAUCCUGUUAAUGUUUUCGGUUGCUUGCAUGAGUGCAUUUCCAAGCCCUGAAGGAAAG